GUCUGCAGCCAUACCACCCUGAACGCACCAUCUCACCUGAUCUCAAAAACCAAGUAGGGUCAGGCUGGGUUAGUACUGGGAUGGGAGACAUACACCAAGUGCUAGAGGGU
rnacentral:rRNA from 1 species